rnacentral:lncRNA from 1 species
UAGUAUUUCAUUUGAGGAAUUUUUCAUAAUUAAUUUAUUCUGAUGAAUAUCUGAGUAGUUUCUGCUCGGAGCUGUUGUAAAUAGGCCAGAUACAAACAUUUUAGUGGAUGUCUCAUGAAAACAUAUACAUAUAUUUCUGUUGGGUGAUGUGGACUUGCUGGGCCAUAGUUUAUAUAUAUUUUCUUAAUUUUAGUGGAAGAUGCCAAAUAAGCCAUGUUUGAGAGUUUGAAUUAUUCUGUAUCCUUGUCAACUCUUUUAUUUACCAUUGCUAUAAUUUUGCCAUUAUAGAACCUGUGUUCUGGUGUUAUUUUGGGUUUUAACUUUCAUGUCUCUGUUGACUGAUGAAGCUGAACAACCUUUAUAUGUUUAUUGAAUAUUUGUAUAUAUUCUUUCUUAAAAUUAUCUAUUCAAGAUUUUGUGCAUUUUUUUGUUUGCCCAUUAUUUUUUAAACAGAUUUUAGUUCUUUCUGUAAUUUGAUAUGGGCCCUGUGUUGAACAUGCGAGGAAUGGAUGUCUUCUCCCAUGCUCUGAACUGUCUCUUUGUUCGUAGCAAGAAGAAGACACAAAAUGAGAACAAAACUUGAUUUUAUCUCAGAAGGGAAGCAGAGUGUCAUGGUUACAAGAAACACAACUCGGGACAUAAAAUGCACCAUUUAUGUGAAUCCCAAGGGUCUUCUGCCAAGUAAGCAAUCUUUCAAACUCUCAAGUCUUGUGUAAAUUACUUCUGUAUAGAGCGAUUUCUAGAAUAGCCAACUUGAACAAAUGCUUUCUAGCAACACAAAAAUCCAUCUGACAAAAGACAGUGAUGUGAGAGAGAAGCCACAUCAUCUUGUUUCCAGCCCUUUUUUGGAGAACUGAGGGAACACUUAAUGGCAAUUUCACCUGGAAGCUUAAUUUUAACUGAGGAACUCCAGGAUGUCACACAGUAGGUAAGAAAACCAAGACAGCCAAGUAGUAGAAGUUUUUCUAGAAAGAUCCACACCAAUGGGCAAUUAAUAAGGCAUGAUUGAGAGGAAACAGAUGAGAACAUAAUGUUAAAAAAGGAAAUAUAGAGAAAUAGGAAUGAAAAGGGAGGAAACUCAUUUAGCUCGUUCUUACAAGGGAAACAAAAAUGGAAUUAGAACCUUUUAGUAAAAAUACUUUCAAAACUAAAUCCAUUUUCUAGACUUCCUAUGACAAUUAAUUAAAAAGAAACAAAUAUUGGCAUAAAAUUUACUGUUAAUAAUAGGCUUCGGGGCCAGCACUGUGGUGUAGCAGGUGAAGCCACCACUUGCAGUGCCAGCAUCCCAUAUGGGCACUGGUUCAGGUCCUGGAUGCUCUUCUUCUGGCCCAGCUCCCUGUUAAUGUGCCUGGGAUAACAGCAGAAGAUGGCUGAAGUCCUUGGGCCCCUGCACCUACCUGGGAGGUAGAAGAAGCUCCUGGUUCCUGGCUUCGGAUUGGCCCAUCUCUACUGUUGCAGCAGAUAGAAGACAUCUGUCUGUCUGUCUCUCUCUGCCUCUGCCUCUGCCUCUCUGUAACUCUGCCUUUCAAAUAAAUAAAUAGAUAAAUCUUUAAAAAAAUACUAA